rnacentral:rRNA from 1 species
GCGCAACCCUUGUCCUUAGUUACCAGCACGUUAUGGUGGGCACUCUAAGGAGACUGCCGGUGACAAACCGGAGGAAGGUGGGGAUGACGUCAAGUCAUCAUGGCCCUUACGGCCUGGGCUACACACGUGCUACAAUGGUCGGUACAAAGGGUUGCCAAGCCGCGAGGUGGAGCUAAUCCCAUAAAACCGAUCGUAGUCCGGAUCGCAGUCUGCAACUCGACUGCGUGAAGUCGGAAUCGCUAGUAAUCGUGAAUCAGAAUGUCACGGUGAAUACGUUCCCGGGCCUU